GGGCCCGCACAAGCGGCGGAGCAUGCGGAUUAAUUCGAUGCAACGCGAAGAACCUUACCAAGGCUUGACAUGUGCCAGACCGCCGUGGAAACACGGUUUCCCCUUUGGGGCUGGUUCACAGGUGGUGCA
rnacentral:rRNA from 1 species